rnacentral:ncRNA from 1 species
UUGCGGUGUGGGAUGAACCACUCAUCAGACCCCAGAAAUGGUGUUGGUUGAUACAGACCACAGAACGGUGGCCAUGGAAGUCGGAAUCCGCUAAGGAAUGUAUAACAGUUCACCUGCCAAAUCAACUACCCUAGAAAAUGGAUGGUGCAGGAGUCUCGGGCCCACAC